rnacentral:rRNA from 1 species
AGUGAACGCUGGCGGUAGGCCUAACACAUGCAAGUCGAACGGCAGCACAGUAAGAGCUUGCUCUUACGGGUGGCGAGUGGCGGACGGGUGAGGAAUACAUCGGAAUCUACUUUUUCGUGGGGGAUAACGUAGGGAAACUUACGCUAAUACCGCAUACGACCUACGGGUGAAAGCAGGGGAUCUUCGGACCUUGCGCGAUUGAAUGAGCCGAUGUCGGAAUAGCUAGUUGGCGGGGUAAAGGCCCACCAAGGCGACGAUCCGUAGCUGGUCUGAGAGGAUGAUCAGCCACACUGGAACUGAGACACGGUCCAGACUCCUACGGGAGGCAGCAGUGGGGAAUAUUGGACAAUGGGCGCAGGCCUGAUCCAGCCAUACCGCGUGGGUGAAGAAGGCCUUCGGGUUGUAAAGCCCUUUUGUUGGGAAAGAAAAGCAGCAGGUUAAUACCCCGCUGUUCUGACGGUACCCAAAGAAUAAGCACCGGCUAACUUCGUG